rnacentral:rRNA from 1 species
GACGAACGCUGGCGGCGUGCUUAACACAUGCAAGUCGAACGGUAAGGCCCUUCGGGGUACACGAGUGGCGAACGGGUGAGUAACACGUGGGUGAUCUGCCCUGCACUUCGGGAUAAGCCUGGGAAACUGGGUCUAAUACCGGAUAGGACCCUGGGAUGCAUGUCCUGGGGUGGAAAGCUUUUGCGGUGUGGGAUGGGCCCGCGGCCUAUCAGCUUGUUGGGGGGGUGAUGGCCUACCAAGGCGACGACGGGUAGCCUGCCGGUGAGGGUGACCGGCCACACUGGGACUGAGAUACGGCCCAGACUCCUACGGGGGGCAGCAGUGGGGAAUAUUGCACCAUGGGCGCAAGCCUGCUGCAGCGACGCCGCGUGAGGGAUGACGGCCUUCGGGUUGUAACCCUCUUUCAGCACCGACGAAGCGCAAGUGACGGUAGGUGCAGAAGAAGGACCGGCCAACUACGUGCCAGCAGCCGCGGUAA